rnacentral:sRNA from 1 species
ACGUUAAUGAUUAUACUUCUACUGUGC